UACGUAGGGUGCGAGCGUUGUCCGGAAUUAUUGGGCGUAAAGAGCUCGUAGGCGGUGUGUCGCGUCGGUCGUGAAAACUUUCAGCUUAACUGGGAGCUUGCGGUCGAUACGGGCAUCACUGGAGUUCGGCAGGGGAGACUGGAAUUCCUGGUGUAGCGGUGAAAUGCGCAGAUAUCAGGAGGAACACCGGUGGCGAAGGCGGGUCCCUGGGCCGAUACUGACGCUGAGGAGCGAAAGCGUGGGGAGCGAACAGG
rnacentral:rRNA from 1 species